CCGCGCUUUCAAAGCGCGGGAUUAUCUUAUUUUGAAAUAUAUUUUAUUUAUAACAUGUAUAACAUGUAUAUUUUUUAAUCAGUGUUUUAUGUUAUAUUUUUAGUAGUGGUUUUAUAUAAUUAGGAUGAUAAGUAACUAUAUAUAAAUAUAAAAAUAUAUAAUCUUGAUGCUAAUAUAAUAGUAUAGAUGUAUACAUAUAUAUAUAUAUAUGUAUUAAUAGUUGAGAGGUUUUGAAAGAGUUCAAAUAUUAAGUGGGUUUUUUUAAUAUUAUCAGACAUAUUUUACUUCUUGAUGUACUCUUGACUGUCCUUAUUACUUUCAUACGGCAUUAGAGUUUUGUCAUCCCCAGUAUCCCUUACAAAAAUAUACUCUCAAAGUUAGUAUGAUAGACAAAUAACUACUGUAAAAUAAACAAAAGAUCAUCCCCUUACAUAUCUUUAAAUGCUUCUGCGUCUGGUAUUGCAGGGUUGAUGAUUAUUUGAGAAGCAUCAAAGGAGUUAGAGAUUUGUACUUCUCCUGUUGUGGAUACGAUUUAGUAGAUUAGAUAUUAGACAGGCUUAUGUAUAUAAUAAUUGUUAUUUUUUUAACGAAAUCUAUAGGAGUUCAAAUAUGUACCUCUAAACUUUCCAAUUUUUGCAAACCUCAGAAGCAAAGUAACCAAACCAUCGUCUUGAUUGCAGGCAGAAUGGAGAGUGUCGGUUAACUUGCCCCAAAUACAGCAUGGUAUUCUUGAAUCACUACCUCACAAGUAAAAAAAGCGAGAUAUGGUUUGUUGUGCGAUAUGCUCCUCCAGCAGGCCUGACUUGGAAGUUUCUGAUGUUGCGCCAUACUCCAACCAGAAGAAGUCUUCCUUUACUCUCAAAGUAAGUCUUUUUGCAGCUUGCAUGGAUUUUAUGCCCCUUGUACAUGUUACAAUUAAAUAAAAUAGAAAUAUUAACAUCAUUUAAUAUCAAUGCUCAAGUUACACAAUUUUUUUAAAAAAAACACUAUUCUAUUGAAAAAGUUUGGAUUGCUUACAUUCUCAUCAGCCAAUAUGAAUUCCAUGGUUUCCCCCCCCCCCCCCCCCCCCCCCCCCCCCCUGAUUGAUGUUUUGUGACCAGGAAUGUAGAAACCUUGACAUGAACCAUUUUAGUAGUGUGCUUUGGCUUCAAGUCGCUGAUGGCGGUGAUUUGUUCAGUAGAAUCAUUUGCUGUGUUGUUGAGCGCUUUAGAAGCCAUUCUUUUGGUUUUGCGGUAUGAGUGUUUUAGGAUGAGGCGUGGGUAUUUAUAAUAGGAAGAGGUUAUAGGAAGAGUAGAUUAGGUUAUUUGAAAACUUGUAGGCUACUCUAAAUAUUUGCGAGAUCUUUAUCGUUAAUAGUACUAAAUGCAGUUACCAGAAAUGUUUAAAAUAUAUUCUGUGAGUAAGUUACACGCAAUCUAGAUUAUAGGAAGAUAUUUCUGAACUUUGAAUGUAGCCUCUGUGUAUCUUCAUUUUCUAAAUUUGGUUAUACAUUUAUUUGCACCGUGAUUGUAGGCGCUACAUACCUUCCACCUUUUAAUCGGAAAAUCUUAUAGGGAAUAUUAUGUUGUUAAAAUUAUAGUUACAAUAGAUAUGGUAUCGAAACUCUAUAUUAGGAAAAAACAAUCAGUUAUUUUAAAAUAAACCGUAUCUAUUAGAUAUGGGAUUGGUUAAUUUUUAAAAUAAUUGAAUAAACUAACCAUUAGGUUAUGUUUUAAAAAUCUUUAUCUGUAAAAAACAUGAGAAUGCGUAUGAAUACGUUAGGGUAUAAGGUUU